CCCCCCAGCCAGGCUGUGGGGCUCUGUCCCUGAGGGGAGCCCGGGGGGGGGACACACACACACGGUGGCAGCCGCGUGUCAACCCCGCUGGGGUCACUCGUGUCCUGCUGACCCCAAUUCCCGCAGCCUCCCCCGGCGUGGGACGGCACCUCCGCCUGCAGCGGCCACGCUGCACCGGGACCGUGGGCCGGGCUGGGGGGGUCCCGGGGCCGGGGGGGGGGCUGUCCCGGGGCAGCUGGAGCCCCCAGGCAGGGCUGGGGGCGAGGAGCUGGGAGAGGCGCUUCCAGCCUUGAUUGUGGAGCUGAGAGGGUCCCCCAGGCCCAAGGCGGGUAAGGUGUCUCCACUUGCACCCACAAAAGCGCCAGGAGGCUCGUGCUGGCUCAGCCUGAGCCCCCCGCACCCCAAAUCCCCGCAUGCGGUGGGCAGGGAGGGGGCUCGGAGCGGAGACGGCCAGCUCUGCUCCCCUGGGAUGCUCACCCGCAGCACAAACUCCUGAGCCUCCAGCGUUGGAGCAUCUGAUGCGCCUUAGUGGCUUUUUUAUUUUUUUUUUUUUUUUUUCCCUUUUCCCCACCCAUUUGUUGGGGGUUUUGAACCCACAGGCCCCUCACUGCCCACUCUGCCCUCCCAUGUAAUUGCAUCUCUGAGGUUUAGCUGCCUUGGCUUGCUUUGAGCCCGGCGCUUGCUGCUGCCUGUCCUGCUGUGAGAAAAUGCAGCUUGGGGCGCUUUGCUCCCCGCUCCGCACCCACCCUGUCCCGCCAGGAUCCCCCAGCCCCUGCCCGGGGCUGGGCUCCGAGCAAAGGGAGAGCGCUGGAUGGAAAAGGCUUUCGUCAAACGGUGUUAAACCCCGGCGCGAAGCCUUCACACGCAAUUAAAGCGGCAUAAAUUCAACGGGACUCGAUUCACCGCUGAAUUGAAUUAAGAGCACUCGAAAUUUGGAAUAAGGCUCUCUCCUGGGGAUUUAACGUGGUCGCACUAAUACACUUUAGGAGAUAACGCGGGUUCAUCUUCCCGAGCGUCCCUGCGCAGCCGGGUCCCCGCUCCCGGGGCGGGCAGGAGGGCUGCUGGGCCUCACUGGGCGCUGCCAUCUCACAAAAAAAAAAAAAACCAACCCCAAAUUCUUCCUGUUCAACAACUAUUUGAGUGCGUUUCCAGGGGUGACCGGGGAGCAGCCCUGCCCGGCUCCCCUCCGUGCGCGCUGGCGGGCAGGGGGCUCCCCCAGCCCUUCCCUGCCCGCAGUGGGUCCCGCCCGGCCCCGGCUCCCGGAGCCCCCCGAUUUCUGCUCCUGGUAACGGGGGAGCGGCGCAGAGCUGGGGGGAGGCUCCUCUCACCGCACGCCCCCCGGGGUGCAGCUUUCCCACCGCGGACCCACACAGCUCUCACACCCCGACGCGGCCGCGCUCGCUCCCUCCCGGUAGAGCGUUCCCCUCCGGCAGCCGCGGCGCAGCCCGACGGCGUGAGCCCUUCCCCGGUGCUUAAUUGCAUCAAGCAGUAAUUAAUUCUUUACAAUUGGCUCUCUAAUAAAGUUCCAGCUUCCCUCCCGUCCGGACCCCUCGCUGCCGGUUUCACCCGUGAGGUUUUUACCCCACGCGUCGGGAUCUGCCUAUGGACAUUUUCACUCGAAGCACCGAGCCGGCCGCUCGCUGGGCUACGCGGGGGCUUUGGGUUCGCUGCGGAAUUGCCGCUUCCCAGCCCUCCCUCCUCCCGGCCCCAAGCUCAGACUUUCCUCGCACAGCUCUAAAAAAAAAAGCACCGGCCGGCCGGGACCGACAGAGCUCACACGGCGCCAGCCCCGGCCCCAGCAGCCGCUCGCCCAAACCCCCAGGGAAGGGGCUGAGCUGCCCCCCAGAUCCUGCCCCCACCCCCCCCCCCCCAAACCCCACUUUCAGCCGGUGGAACCAUCAUAUUUUAAGUUGUUGCUGACUUGAUGCGCAAUAUAAACUAAUAAAAGCUACGGACACGCCCAUGUGCCUGGCCACCUUACUCGGGGCGUUGGUUUUCUUCAAGCUCAGCGCUGGACUCGCAUUUCGGGGGCAGUGACCUGUCCUGAGGGGAGCGACUGAACAGCCCAGCUCACGUAGCCUUUAGGACAACAGCAGGAGAGGAAAAAAAAAAUCAUAUUGUAUAAAAGCAGUUAAUAAUUACACAUAAACCAAGAUCUACAGCUCAUCUAUUUCAUUAACCCUUGUAUGUAUAUACCCUCCAGGCAGCUGUCUGUUUAGAUGUCAGAGGCAUAUGAAAACCAGUAUAUAAUUCAGCUGUUUAUUAUCUGUACUCAAGAGGCUAAAAUGCUUGAAAACAUAAUAAAUUUGGCAAAAAUAUCCCAAGAACUAUUUAGCUUAAUUCUGAUCAGCGUUUUGGUAACAUGACAGCAAUAACCUUGAUAUAGUGAAUUAUAAGCUGAUCAAGAUAAAUAAAAUUAUAACAUAACAUUGCCAAGGAACGGCUCUAAAAUUUAGAUGCGGUUUAAAACAUUAACUACAGAGCAGGCUGCUUUCCAUUUUAAUGGAUGCUUUACAGAAACAGCAAACACGACUUUGACCUGCGCAAGAGCUUCUUCUCGAAUACUGGACUUUAUUGGUAAGCGUAAAACACACUGAAAUUCAUAAAAUUUAAAUAAGACAGCCAAAUUAUACCUUGUAGCUAUAGUUAUCACAAAUAAUGUAUAGUCUAAAUUGCAGCCUGAGCAAACAUUAUUUGCUGGGUGCCUUUGGAAGCCCAAGGCGGGAUGCAGAGCAAUUAUGAGGAAUAAGUACAAAGCCGAUUUGCAUCUGAAUGCCGGGGAGGGGGAGCAGGGGCGGGCGGGGAGCCCGCUCCAUUCACAGCACCACAAUACGCCAGCUGGUAAAAGCAACUUUAUUAGUGUCCCGCAGCAAAAUACAUUAGUAAUUUGUAACCAGGCAUUAAAAUUCCCGUCCGGUGUCAUACAGAAGUGAUCAGCCGCCUCCCUGAUCCCGUGUUCUACUGGAUGUGCCCCGGGUGCUCCCCCAGCGUGCCAAGCCCCCGCCGGCGCGGGAUCCGACCCCUACCCAGGGCAUCCCUCUUCUUUUUCCAGGCAUUUCCCAGGGCAUCCCUCUUUUCCAGGUAUUCCCCAGGGCAUCCCUCUUCUUUUUCCAGGCAUUUCCCAGUCGCCCUCGCACCCCGGGCCGCGCAGCGAGCGCCUGCUGCAUUUUCCUACCCCUUCGGGCGUGCAGGGCUCGUUCCCUCUCCACCCCAACAGCAGGAAUACACUAAGACACACAAUACUUUAAUUAAUAUUUUUUUUUUUGGGGGGGGGGGGGGAGUGAAAAGAUCUAAUUUUCCUCUCUUGAUCACAAUGAAAAACUGCAGUCUCUGAGUAGCAUGAUUCAACUAUUAGUGUUAACCGUUAGUGUUACUGUAAAAUCCUCUUUGGUUAUAGAAUAUUUUAUUUAAAGCAAGAUUAUACAAAACAGUUUUCAGCUAGAAAUACACCCCUGAAAUCUAAAAGCAAUCUAAAAUAACACACUUCCGCAGGCUGAAGCUGUAUCGAUAGGACUUAUAAAUUUCGAGUAUUUCCCCACGUAAUCUAAACAAAGUUAUCAAAAUUAUAUUAAGUAAAUACAUUUUGAGGAAUAGUAAACUUUUGAAAAAUCCUUAGAAUAUUAAAAGUAGAGUUCCAGAAGUAGCAGUAGUGGGCUAGAGAAAAAAAAAAAAUGACCAAGACGGAGACUCUCUUUAAAUACU